GUAUGGUGCUGGGUGCAGAUGCAAUGUGGCUCUGGAUAGCACCUUAUGGACAGUUGUGUCCCAAAGGAAGGAUGAGAAUAGCUACUGAAGUCCUAAAGAGCAAGCCUAACUCAAGCCAUUGGCACACCGGCAUUAGACAGAAAACUGGAAGUUGAAAUGGUGGAGUCCAACUUGUCUGGACCAGCUUAAUGGUUCUGCUCCUGGUAACGUUUUUAUCCACGGAUGGCUUGCUUGGGUAUGGAGAGUCGGCUUGACUACACUGUGUGGAGCAAGUUUUAAAGAAGCAAAGGACUCAGAAUUCAUGCUUGAAGAAAUGCAGGGUUUUUAAUGACCACGACAAGCAAGCAUGCAGCUUACUGCUUGAAAGGUGAGGAUUGUAAAUGUUGGGACUAUUAUAAUCGCAGAAUACAUGAUGAUCUCAAUCCAACUUGAACUCUCUCACUGAUUACUUGAUGACAAUAAAAGAUCUGAUAUUCUGCAUUCCCAUGUAGCAUUUUAAUUGAAGUCUGUAAAUGUGGCUAAAAGUCUUAUUUUUUGAGACAGGGUCUUGCCUCACCCAAGCUGGAGUGCAGUGGCCUCUGAAGCUUACUACAGCCUCAAACUUCUGGGCUCAAGUGAUCCUCAGCCUCCCAAUGGUCUUUGUAGACUGCCUGAUGGAGUCUCAUGGCACAAGAAGAUUAAAACAAUGCUCCAAUUUUAAUAAAUUUUUGCAAUCCA
rnacentral:sRNA from 1 species